AGAAUAAAGCCAUGUUGUGAUGUAACCAGAGGGAAGGGGAAGCUCCUGGACUGAUAAGGGCCACAGCUUCCCUCUGAGCCUUGUUUUAAAAAGUCCUACACCAUAACCCCCUGACUUCUCUGAGCCUGAUCUGAGACCAUCAACUGGUUUCUCCCAUUCCAGGUGCUGACCAUAAGCAUCUCAAUACAGGAGCAGCCCCUCCCCUCCUCAUCUGGCACCAUGGCAAGAUCAACGCAGAUUUGCCUGGGAAAGGAUGUCAUGGCCAGCCCAGGUGUCCAGGGGCUGAAGACCUCAUGAGUGAUGCCAUGAAAACAACUACAAAACAACAACACAACGAUAAAAACAACUAAAGUUUGAUCAGACCAAUGAGCUGACUGCCUGACCAACCUCGGUGUCCUCACCUGGAACCUACACUUGCUGAGGUCCCUCUAGCUGCACCAUUCUACGUUGCCCAGCCCAGUUGUAGCUUCUCUGAGGCCUCUUUUUUCAAGGAUUUCCUGGAGAUGGUUAAGGAUGGGACUUGUCAUUAUCCUUAAACCUAAGGAGAUGGGGCAGCCUGCCCUGGAGACAGGGUGUCAUGAGCAGAAUAACACUUGGGGAGACCAGGAGGAAGCCUGGUUGUCAGCCACGGUGAUAGUAACUGAAGUGACAGUGGCUCAUGCAUCUCCCAUUUGAGAGGACCCCAUGUCAUGACCAUGGUGCUGUGAUGAGGAACACACAUUCCUGUGGAAUAGAGAGUAAACCUAGUCAACAGUACAUGGUCUGGAAGCUCCUCCCUGGAGAAAGGUCUCAGAACCACUGUGGGACUGUGAGCCUCACACCAAGGACAAGGACAUGAAUCACGAGUAAAAUGGGUAAAAUGUGUCUCUAUGCUUUGGGACUACAGACCUGUUCCCUCUGCCUUUCACUCCUGGUGGGAUCAGUGCAGAGAGUGAAUCAAGGAGGUAUAUAUCCAUCCUGCAUGGCCUGUCCCAUGUGUUAGCAUCACUGAGGAGAAGAGCCCUGGACAGGGACACAGUGGAAGCUUGUUCUCCUGGGGACUUGGGUGCAUUGGCUGGUGGUGGAGUCCUUGCAGGGGCUGCUGCUUAGGCUGAUUUCUUUGCCCUUUACUGUUUCCCGAGAAGGGUGAGGCUGGCCACAGUGUUGGUGGAAGAGAACGGGACACUCAGUAUCUGGGGUGGGUUAAGUGUUGGAGGAAGCUCUGAAGAGCAGGACAGUCCUGGCUGAAAUGAAGGAGGAGGAAGAUGAGGGACAUGGAAGGAACAGACAGAGCCAGACAUGCCCGUGGCAGUGAGCAGUGGGCAUUUAUGAGUUCACAGACCCAAAGAUCCAAGAGCUCCCAUGUGACCCAGAAGCAGGACCAGCACAUCUGAAACGCUCUCCUCUGAGCAGCACCAGAGUCAUCAAGAUACCCAAUUCCCGGGGUAGCUUUAGGAUCAGGCAGUCAGAGGGAGGGAAAAUGGGUCUCAGUCAUCUGGAGGCCAGGAGGCCAGGGUGGCUGAACAGCCUGAGAAUCUCAAGCAGGGUCCAGUCUCUGAAGAGAUUAUGGAUCAUUCAUUCAUUUCCACUCCAUUCCCUCCUUCCUUCCAUCCUUUAUCGAAGAGUAAUUGAGAGUUUGUUACAUGUUGAGUCUGUGCUAGUUGCAGGGUGUGCAGUGGGGAGUGAGAUAGCAAAGUCCUUUCCUUUAGGCUCCACUGGGAGAGACACACAGCACAUAAAUAAACAUAAAUGAUUUCACUCCAGUGCAGGGAGCAUGUGGAUUGGCUUUCUGGGGUGGAGGCCUGGACAUGCUUGCCACUGACUGAUUGUUGAUAUAAGUAAUUUAGUUCUAGAGCAAAACCGGAUUAAUCAUUCAUUUGCUCUGACCGCCUGCCUCCCCUAACAAAAAUCUCUUCCUUCGAUCUGGGGAUG